rnacentral:rRNA from 1 species
UACAGAGGGUGCGAGCGUUAAUCGGAAUUACUGGGCGUAAAGCGUGCGUAGCCGGUUUUUUAAGUCGGGCGUGAAAGCCCCGGGCUCAACCUGGGAAUUGCAUUCGAGACUGAAUAGCUAGGGUACGGUAGAGGGAAGUGGAAUUUCCGGUGUAGCGGUGGAAUGCGUAGAUAUCGGAAGGAACAUCAGUGGCGAAAGCGACUUCCUGGACCAGUACCGACGUUCAGGCACGAAAGCGUGGGGAGCAAACAGG